AUUGAACGCUGGCGGCAUGCCUUACACAUGCAAGUCGAACGGCAGUGGGGACUUCGGUCCGCCGGCGAGUGGCGAACGGGUGAGUAAAGUAUCGGAACGUACCUUUCAGUGGGGGAUAACGUAGCGAAAGUUACGCUAAUACCGCAUAUUCUGUGAGCAGGAAAGCAGGGGAUCGCAAGACCUUGCGCUGAUUGAGCGGCCGAUAUCAGAUUAGCUAGUUGGUGAGGUAAAGGCUCACCAAGGCGACGAUCUGUAGCGGGUCUGAGAGGAUGAUCCGCCACACUGGAACUGAGACACGGUCCAGACUCCUACGGGAGGCAGCAGUGGGGAAUUUUGGACAAUGGGGGCAACCCUGAUCCAGCCAUGCCGCGUGAGUGAAGAAGGCCUUCGGGUUGUAAAGCUCUUUCGGCCGGGAAGAAAUCGUAUGGGUUAAUACCCUGUGCGGAUGACGGUACCGGCAUAAGAAGCACCGGCUAACUACGUGCCAGCAGCCGCCGCAGUAA
rnacentral:rRNA from 1 species